GACGAACACUGGCGGCGUGCCUAAUACAUGCAAGUAGGACGCACAGUCUAUACCGUAGCUUGCUACACCAUAGGCUGUGAGUUGCGAACGGGUGAGUAACGCGUAGGUAACCUGCCUAUUAGAGGGGGAUAACUAUUGGAAACGAUAGCUAAUACCGCAUAACAGUAUGUAACACAUGUUAGAUGCUUGAAAGAUGCAAUUGCAUCGCUAGUAGAUGGACCUGCGUUGUAUUAGCUAGUAGGUAGGGUAAUGGCCUACCUAGGCGACGAUACAUAGCCGACCUGAGAGGGUGAUCGGCCACACUGGGACUGAGACACGGCACAGACGCCUACGGGAGGCAGCAGUAGGGAAUCUUCGGGAAUGGGGGGAACCCUGACCGAGCAACGCCGCGGGAGGGAAGAAGGUUUUCGGAUCGUAAAGCUCUGUUGUUAAGGAAGAACGAGUGUGAGAAUGGAAAGUUCAUACUGUGACGGUACUUAACCAGAAAGGGACGGCUAACUACGUG
rnacentral:rRNA from 1 species